rnacentral:tRNA from 1 species
GCAUUGGUAGCUCAAAGUUAAAGCAUCAGUCUUGUAAACUGAAAAAUAAGGGUUAAAAUCCCUUCCAACGCU